ensembl:lncRNA
CCCAGCCAGUACACUCGGCUUUAUUUAGUUGCUUUACUCGCAUGCAAAAUGGACAGGAGACGUAAACAACAGGGCGAGUAUCUACAAGCCAGAUCAUAUCCAGUGCCUGUACAAGAGCAGAGAUGGCAGAAGAGGGGAGGCCAGGGGCUACAUUCACAGGGAUGGGGAGGAGCCUGAGGAGGAUGCCUGGGCCACAGUCAUGGUACCCAGUUUCUCCCAUCUUGCCAGGGAGAGGUUGGGGGGGGUCAGAAGGAGUGAACCUCCAGACUACAGGGAACUGGAAAGUCCCCCCCCCCACUCUGCUUCUUGCCUGGGGUCUUGCAGUGUCUGGAGAGGUCAGUGCCCACCUCUGUUAGCUGCUGAGGUCUGGAGUCCUGCAGAAUAUUCUACACCAUGCUGCCAGAGCAGGCUGCAGGGCCCAGUUCAGAGCCCUCUGGACACAGCAGUGCAGGCCUGGAGGGAACCUUCCUGAGGCUUUGACGUUACCCAGGUUCCUAAGCCAUUCAGCUUGCUGCCCUGACCUUGUGGACCACACUUCCCAAGGGCUGAUUCCACCUUCCUGACCCUGUGCUAUGUGCUGGGGAGGGGAGACAAAGAAAAGGUGUUGGCUCUGCCCUGGAGGAGUUCAGACUGAAAGAGCUUGGAGCAUGAACACCAGGGACCAGACCCUGUGGAGGGAUGGGUGCCCUGCCCAAAAAGCUGGGGUUUUCUGUUUCUUUUGAUUUUUGCAGUACUGAGGAUUGAACCCAGGGAGCAAUGACUAUAUCUCCAGCUCUUUCUAAUUUUUAUUUUGAGACCAGCUCUCACAUAAGUUUACCAGGCUGGUCUCAGACUUGUGAUCCUCCUGCCUUGGACUCCCAGAGGGCUGGGAUUACAGGUACACAUCACCAUACCCAGCUCAUGCUACAAGUUUGAGUUGGGUCAAGAAUGACUCAGGAUUGCUUGCUUGAUUUGUCCACUGCAUGGUUCCGUUUAAGGGUGCCCCACAGGCAGUGCCGCAGCUCUGUUGCCUGUUGGGGGUGACUUUGUGGCAAGGAAGGGGUAAGCUCGAAGCAGAGAGAGACCAUGGGCUGAGAUGCUUUGGUGGGGGUAAUGGCCCCGCUACCUGCAGACAGCCACCUGCCGCUCUGUUCUUCCACCUUCCUCCCGCACCCAGUGUUAUAGUCUUUCCAUCCCCCCUCUUCCUCCUCUUUUCUCUAUGUGCCCUUCUGGAGUUGCGUUGUUUCUCUUUGUCCUAGUCCGACCUCUCUAUUCCACUGCAUGCUCUGUCACUUAGGGUCCACAUUGCUCCUCUGGGAGCAUCUUCUGCCUCACAUUGCCACCGCUGCAUCCCAGCCUUCUGCAGAGCAGAUGCCUUCACCUUUUCCAGCUCUGUAGCCUCCAAAGCAGGACUUUGUGUCCAAUGGAUCACAACACGGGGUGUAGUAAUGUCAAGAUGAACUGUGCCUAAAAGAGUUCAAUGUCCUGGCCAGUUUAGCUUUUCCACAAAGGCACAGAUGGCAUUGACCCUGAAGGAUAACCUAGAGACAAAAGGUGGUUGCCAGGGCUACUAUAGGACCAACACAAGGAACAUGAAGUCCUAUCAUUCCGGCCAGGAAUAGCAGAAGAGUCCAGUGGCUUCCAGAAAGCAGACAAUGAUGAACAAGCACAGGAAUAUCCUAUCAAUGACCAUGGCAACACACUUCCAGUCUUCCUUCACCUGCAGGCACAAGGGGACUCAUGGUGACAGCGGCCAGGGCUUAGAAAGGGAAAGCGUCCUGCCCAUGCACUGCCACAGAGACAAACACAGGGGCAGCAGCUAUGGGCCAAGGAGACCUGGGGAGCCAAGGUCAGCCCAGGAGACGAAAAGGAAGACGAAGGUACAAGUUGUUGUGACCCACAGCUCACUGGAGUCAAGGUGAAGGUCUUUGUGGAGCUUGGACUCAGACCCCAGACCAGGGAGUCUGGACUCCUAGCUGUUCCCAGAUGAAUGACUGAUUUUCUUAUCUGCUCAAUAAAGCCACACAGCAAUCACAACUGGGCCUUUGUCCUUCCAUAGAUUGAUAACAUGAAUUCCAAUGCUGAACACUGGGUACACAUGGGAGGAGCCAGAGAGG